rnacentral:rRNA from 1 species
GACGAACGCUGGCGGCGUGCUUAACACAUGCAAGUCGAACGGACGGGCCCUGCUUUUGUGUGGUGCUCGAGUGGCGAACGGGUGAGUAACACGUGAGUAACCUGCCCUUGACUUUGGGAUAACUUCAGGAAACUGGGGCUAAUACCGGAUAGGAGCUCCUGCUGCAUGGUGGUGGUUGGAAAGUGUCGGCGGUGGGGGAUGGACUCGCGGCUUAUCAGCUGGUUGGUGGGGUAGUGGCUUACCAAGGCUUUGACGGGUAGCCGGCCUGAGAGGGUGACCGGCCACAUUGGGACUGAGAUACGGCCCAGACUCCUACGGGAGGCAGCAGUGGGGAAUAUUGCACAAUGGGCGGAAGCCUGAUGCAGAAACGCCGCGUGCGGGAUGACGGCUUUCGGGUUGUAAACCGCUUUCGCCUGUGACGAAGCGUGAGUGACGGUAAUGGGUAAAGAAGCACCGGCUAACUACGUG